rnacentral:rRNA from 1 species
GAUGAACGCUAGCGGCAGGCUUAAUACAUGCAAGUCGAGGGGCAGCGGGGUAGCAAUACCGCCGGCGACCGGCAAACGGGUGCGGAACACGUACAGAACCUUCCUUUAAGCGGGGGAUAGCCCAUAGAAAUGUGGAUUAAUACCCCAUAGUAAUGCUGGUUGGCAUCAACUGGUAUUUAAAGAUUUAUCACUUAAAGAUGGCUGUGCGGCUGAUUAGGUAGUUGGUGCGGGUAACGCCCACCAAGCCAGCGAUCAGUAACUGGUGUGAGAGCACGACCAGUCACACGGGCACUGAGACACGGGCCCGACUCCUACGGGAGGCAGCAGUAAGGAAUAUUGGUCAAU